GGGGGAGGUGGAGAGAUGUAAUGCAGCUUUCCAGAACGAGAAGUUCUCUCCCCGGUUUACAUUUUUCAGCUCAUUGACGUAUGUGAAAGAAAAAACAAGUGAUAAAUUCUCAACCUCAGCAUACAUUUCAGGCCGUCACUCCUAAUUAUUUCUAUCAGUCCUAUUGUCAGUUGCACUCCCUUACUGGCCUCCCCCAACAUAAAAGUGAUACUUUCCAAGUUUUAGCGGUUUAAUGAAGCAGCAUUUUUGUAGGCCCAAUUCGCAGGUGCAGCAGAGGCCUUGGCAAGGGGCAAACUGAUUAUCGCUUAUGAAAACAGCCACACUGUAUUGUUCAUACUUCUUCAAGGUCUUGAGCAAAGCAUAAAUUCUGAUGAAAAUGAACUGGGUGCAGUCAGAGAUUGAGACAGCUAAUAAGGUUCCCUCUCUGCACCCUUGCCACCUGGGGAAUUUCCAUUACUUUUGCUCGUUGUUCCUUUUUCCUAUGCAUAUACUUCUUUGAGAAUUGGAUCUAAAGAGGCAUAGGGCAUGGGAAAAUGGGGCGACUGAGGUACUCCACCAGUCACCCUGCAAAGCAUUGCUAGGAGGCAUGUAAGAAAAAUGCACUGAAAGUCACAGGUAUAAAGAAACAGUGGUUUUAUUGCAAAACACUUAUUGUGAAGAAAAUGCUUAUGAAUAGUAGUAAUAUGUGAGAAAUUGAUAUAAUUUUUAUUAGGGAAGAAUAGCUGAAAGUUUAUUGCAUAUUAAAGUUGCUUUUUAAUGUGUUAUGGGAAUAGUAUGUUCUUAGCUGUUUGUCCAAAUACAAGAAUCAGUAUGCCUACUAGAGAUUAAGCUUUUA